rnacentral:ncRNA from 1 species
GGUCAUGAGUGCCAGCACGAAGCCCCGGCUUGCUGGCCGGCAACCCUCCAACCGCGGUGGGGUGCCCCGGGUGAAGACCAGGCCCGGCGCCAUAAGGCGUCCGGCAAGCGCGGGUC